GCCUGUUUAUUGCUUACGGUAGUACUAUUAUUUGUUCGAUCAUGGAAACCAAUGAGCUUUGGCUAUUUGUCAGUCAAUUAAUUUGAUUGGUUCAUUUAAAUUGCCGGCAGUUUGUUUCAAACAAUAAAAUCGGAACCUUUACCCCACCCGCAGGUAUUGAAAUAUUUUGAGAAUUCCUUCAAGGAUUUGAUCCUCAGAGCUAGAUCGUACAAG